UUCACUUCAUUCAAAUAGGAGGCACACUUCAUAGUUGAUUGAAGACCAGGAUGAACUGAUUAAACAAGUGGAAUCAGGUGUGGCUUCUGCUUGGUUGAAACAAAAGCCUGCAGCCACACCAGCCCUUUGUCAAUAAUAUUGAAGAUCCCUGCACUAAACCACACCCUCAUCUGCUAGAGACCUCCAAGACAAGCAGGAGAGGAAGUCUACCACCACCAUCUGCACCCCCUGGCCUGAGGACCAUCGUACAUUUAAAAGGUUGUGAUGCUAGAUACCAAGGAGGGAUCCUAAUGUUACACUUACCUUUACACAGACCUUGGCAGACACCCUUAUCCAGAGCGACUUACAGAAGUGCUUUGAAGUCUAUGUCAAUAAAUACAUCCUUGUACUGUGUGGUGAUGGCAGCGUGGUCGAGCAUCAGCUGUGGAUGGAGAGGAGGCAGGUCGAACCGGAAGUGUCUCCUGUAACCCAUGAGCAAGAAAGCUCAUAACACCAGCAUAACAGCAGCAGAACCAGGGAUAUGGACUUCAAGAGACAUCCUGCAGCCCAUUGUGCCAUAGUUCUUCACUGCUGGAAUCCACUUUAAGAGCUGGUCCUAGAAGCAGAUUCUCGGGUAAACUUGGUCUUACUUUAGAACCGAUGAUACUUCUCUCAAAUUAUGAGAGUUAUUAGAAAUUAUUAUUAAUUAUUAGAAAUUGACACUGACAUAAAUAAACUUACAUACUUACAGUACAGCAAACACUUCAUGAAUCAGUGGAUGAUCUUCUAAGACAAAUGUUAAAGAAAUGCUGCCACCUCCUGGUAUCACAUUAAUCUCUUAAUGUAAUACGUUGAUUUUAUUUGCAAAAUGCAAAUCCACAAUACAAUAUUUUUAUUCUGGUUACACACCCUUGGUGUGAUCAAAAGAUUUUAAAGUAAUUUUAACUUCUUUAUUACUUUGGUUAAAUUUUUCAACAACACUUUUGAUACACAGUUGUCUUAACUUUUUGAGAGUAUGUGCUUUUCUGUUAUGGUUGGAAUGGUGUGAAAAUUUGCUGUAUGAUCAUUUUUCAACCUAGUAAUUACAGUUUUUACAUAUAAGUUCUGUUUAUCUUUAAGAACAUAACAUUAAAUGUCAUAUAAAACUGUGCCUAAGAAAUCAUUACACAUGGGAAAGUAAUAGAAUCGAAAUAGAAAUAUAUUUUAAGGCAGAGAAAAGGAUAACUUUCAACGGUUUAUUAAUACAAUGUUAAAUACAGUUAACUCUGAAUUUUACCUGCUGUGUUUGUUUGUAACAUCAUUAUCUAUACUGGUACAUUGUGACAUUAAUGGUGUAACCAAUUUCCAUAUCCUGGUCUCUCUAUUUUGUUGGACUUGUGUUGCAGCUCUAAAGAGUCACUUAGUGCCUUAAGACUAUUGCGGUCAUUGUUAAUUUUUCUGAAUAUCAGAAAGAUAUUAUACAUUUUCAAUAGAGUUUGUUCUGUAUGUUUAUUCCUGUACAUUUACCUUUAUUUCGCAGAUAUUACACCAAUUCAUAUUCUCAGAAUAUACUCCUUAAGAACUUUACGGACUUGUAGUCACUUUAAUUUAAUAUUAAGGAAAUGUGCUAAUUACAGCAUUGAAGACACUUUUUCUUUUCAAGUUUGUCAUAUUAUUACAUAGUCUCUUAUGUCAAAUUACUAUAUCAUACUAUAUAACCUCAGUGUAUUCAUCUUACUGAUGUUAAAGACCUUAAACAACUUGUGUUAAUGACUUUGUUUUGAUGUGGCAGCUAAUGAAAACAAUAAAGACACAGGUAAAAUGGA